AUUCGUAUCCACAAAAAUCCAAAGGGCAGCCCAGUUAAGCGUGAUCAUGUCCAUGGGCUUAUCUCUACAGAACAGGCAGAGACAUUAAUGUACAAUGAAGAAGUUUUUUGUUUUGUUUUUGCAAAUGUUUCAUUGAGCUACGGGCAGAGCUUGAAGAGAUGAGCUGAAAUAAGGAUACAGGUAAAUGGAAAUCGCGGC